AACACUACAGGUUCAAUUGAAGGAGCCAAUCAUCUUACCGGACUUUCAUCACUACAUUUCUGAUGUUUUUAUACCUAAUAUUGAAACAUAACACCAUUUUCUCAAAAAUACCCUUACAUCAUUCAACUCAUUACACUACUAAAAGGACUAACCAGUCUUUAACAAAUUGGUACAAAAUUUACACUCAUCCUUCAAUCCCAAUACGACAAGUGGCAUCA
rnacentral:lncRNA from 1 species